rnacentral:lncRNA from 1 species
UAAAGAACCAAACUUUCGGCACAGCUAUGCAGCUCGUGGGCCAGAGAAGAGGUCCUCUUCACCCUUCUGUUGCUUGUCAAAUUAACACAUUAUCCGUCUCACACCAAUAAUUUCUAUUAGGAUGGGCUGGCUUUUGUGUGUGAUUUUUUAAAAAUCUGUGUUUUUGUUUGCCUUGCGUUUUGGGGGGUUCUCAUUUAUUUGGGGGGGGGGACGAGGGGAUGUGCUGGAAUCCCAUCCCUUUGGCGAGAGUGGACAAGAAAUGACAUAUAUCCUACAAGGAGCCUGGAGAACUACUUUUUUUUUUUUUAAUCUAGCUGCCAGCUGCUGUUUCCCCAUAUUAGCGUCUUCUGGAGGGAGCAGCUUAGACUAAAUCUAAGUCUACAUUUAUAAUAUGUUCUGAUUGUGAACAAAGGGUUUCGUUCCAAAAAGUAGAGAAGAAUUUUUCUUGAAGCCUAGGUUUAUAGAAGCCCAUGUGUGCGUUAGCUUGGUUGUGCAUGGAUGCGUGCGGGCGUGCGUGUGUGUGUGUAUGUGCGUGUACACACGUGUGUGCGUGAGUCUUGGUUUUCAUGUUUUUGUUUUUGUUUUUGCUUUUUUUUAAACUUGGAAGGGUUGGGGGAGGGGGGAGGGAAGAAAGGGAAGGGGGAUUGCUGACGACAGUGUCCCACACAGCUUCAAAUGAAAUCCAUGGAAAGAUGUUGCAUUUGUGGAAUAAGUGCUUACUUGAAAAGCAUGUUCUUCUUUUAUUUUCUUGCUGUUAAAAAAUUUUUAUUUGUAGGACUUUAAUUUAAUUUUUUUUUUUUUAGGGAUGGGGGGCCAUCAUGUGGAAACCAGAAAAUGGGGAAAGUGUGGACUCUCUAGACAAAGAUUCAUUUUGUGUCUAUAUUUGUUUUUAAUUGGCCUCAUUUCAAAUGUAUUAAACAGUUCCAUACCUGGAUUGGGUGUUUGUAAUGAUUACCAAAAAACAAACAAAAACAAAAAAAAAAAGGAAGAAAAAGGAAAAAAAUAAAAUAAUUGUGACAUGCUUUUAUCACUACUUUAUUUUUCAAAUAACAUGUAAAUAUUGUAAUCCAUUGGAUUUUGUUUUGCUAACCUGUUAAUAAAAAUAUGGGACCAUUAUCCUUUUAACAAGGCUAGAAUGUCAUUUUUUUUUUCUUUUUCAAACAUAUACCUGAUAUUUUGUGGCCGCACAUUUUGGAUGCAUUAUUAUAAUUCUGUUGACUGUAAUGACAUAGAAUUUACAACAUUUUUUUUGUUGUUGUUGUUUAAUUUAUACAGAGGACAUUUUUUUUCAGAGCUUGAGAGAAGAAAAUAAAUAGCAGAAUGAUAACCUAUUGACUACAAUAAUCAGUGUUUCCCGAUACUUGGUAAAAGAUGAGGGAGAUUCUGAGUCCUUGAAGCCAAGGGUUUAAAAACAAAAACAAAAAACAAACAAAAAAAACCACAAGUAGGUUAUUCAAGUUGUUUGCAACAUACAUUUUGUAAUGAAAUGUGAGAAAUUAAUAAAGAAUUUUUUUCACAUGUGUUUAUGUCAUCUGUUG